GAUGAACGCUGGCGGCGUGCCUAAUACAUGCAAGUCGAGCGAACAGACGAGGAGCUUGCUCCUCUGACGUUAGCGGCGGACGGGUGAGUAACACGUGGAUAACCUACCUAUAAGACUGGGAUAACUUCGGGAAACCGGAGCUAAUACCGGAUAAUAUAUUGAACCGCAUGGUUCAAUAGUGAAAGACGGUUUUGCUGUCACUUAUAGAUGGAUCCGCGCCGCAUUAGCUAGUUGGUAAGGUAACGGCUUACCAAGGCAACGAUGCGUAGCCGACCUGAGAGGGUGAUCGGCCACACUGGAACUGAGACACGGUACAGACUCCUACGGGAGGCAGCAGUAGGGAAUCUUCCGCAAUGGGCGAAAGCGUGACGGAGCAACGCCGCGUGAGUGAUGAAGGUCUUCGGAUCGUAAAACUCUGUUAUUAGGGAAGAACAAAUGUGUAAGUAACUAUGCACGUAUUGACGGUACCUAAUCAGAAAGCCACGGCUAACUACGUG
rnacentral:rRNA from 1 species